rnacentral:sRNA from 15 species
GCAAGGAACUGGUCGCCCGGUCCAGCGACUUUCUCGAUGGGCAACUGGACUUCCGUGGACGACUGGCGGUACGUAGCCAUCUGCUCAUGUGUCGGCAUUGCCGGCGCUUCAUCCGGCAGAUGCGCCUGACCCAGGCGACCGUGCGCCGCCUGCCCGAAGGACAGAGCCCGGAACUCGACAGGCUGGCCGCGCACCUCGUCGAACUGCGCAAGGACGCCGCGCGGCGCUGAGCCCGGCCGCCAAGGAAAAAGCCGCCGCCCGUGAAUCGCGGGUGGCGGCU